CACACACACAUAUAAAUACACACAUGUGUGUGUGUGUAUGUGUAUAUACAUAUGUGUAUAUGUGUGUGUGUGUGUGUG